AGUCGGCAGCGGCCACGACUAAAGAUGGCGCUGCUCAAAUCAUCACAGCUGGGCAGCUCAAAUCAUCACAGCUGGGCAGCGGCUUCCUUUUCAUGAGCACUUGGCGCAACAGUGUUAAAUGUGCUAUGUGUCUCUUGAAGGGGGAAGAUGGUGAGAAGGAGCGGAUGAGGACUCCCGUAAAUACUGCCCAACACUCCCCAUGGACACUGACGCACUCUCCAGGAAAUGUGAAGACAUCAGAGCAUGUGUAGAGUUUAUACUGGCAGCUGGGUGCACAGGAUUGAUGUCACUAGAUUGCCGCACAUGCUCGGACCAGUGCGCAUGUGCAGACCGCCAUCUUCAAUUGGCAGUAGACAGAUUGUUCCAAGUUUCAUAUUAUCCUUUGAAAUGCUGCCCUGUAUGCCCAGGUGCAGGCCACGAAUAUAAAAAUAGCAGUUGCCAUCGUUCUGCCCCAUGGGGAAUGCUGGAAUAUACCUCCCUCCAGUCUGAAAAAUAAUCAUUCAGCACCACUCUCUACCUUCUGUUUCUUAGCUCAUUUUGUAUGCAUGCUGCUAUGAUCCAUUUAAUCCCACAGGCUUUAAUUUUGCUAAUAUGCCAUCCAAUUUUAUCUUGAACAUUGGCGAGAAUGGCUCAUGUACUCGGAGCCUGGCAAAGGAGGAAAGGUCCUCACUGCUGAUGACUAUCGGACUUCAUGCUUCAAUGUUGCGUGGCUCUGUAGCAGAGAAGCAGCCAGACGUGUUACUUGGAGUAUGAAUGAGAUCAAGAACCACUGCCGGAGUGGCAGGAACAGAUAUUGCCAGAACUUCGAGAAAGGCAUGGGUUGAGUUAGCAUCAAAUUUUCCCGUUCAAGUACCAGUGCUCUAAGCAAUGCAAAACAACUGACUUGAAGCUGGUCUCUUUGCCACUGGACUGGUUAAUAUUUACACUGUUUGCUUAGUCUGUUUUUUUCCUGGAGGAGAUAAGACACUGCUUUAUGUUGCUGAUGUUUAAAACACUCUUGAGCAAUCCAACUUAAGAGUUUCCAGCUCUCCAGCUGUGAACAUUGUGACUUCCAGUGAGGAAUAUUGAAAUUUGUAUCAAAUGUCACACGAAGAAAAUUAAAUUAGGGAGUAGUGAAAUUUCUAUUGCUGCUGCUCUGCCUUCAACUUCAGUUAGCCAAGUAAAAUCUAUCCCCUUAUCUCCUUAAUCAAAAGUAUGUGCUGCACAAAAAGAAUUAGCCUUGAGUCUUUCUGUACAUAGUUCAUGUGAUCAAUUAAAUCCUCAGUUAUUAAUGUUCCUGACCACUGAGCAUGUGUAUUUCAGUCUUCUCAGAAUCCCAUACGAAUAUCAGAGAGCUGGUAUCCCCUAUUGUAUGUGGAUAUUGAUGAGUAAAACUGAAGUUUCGUGGAAUUCUCUGCUGUAACUUUCCUGAAUGUUUGCAAUGCAUUUGUGUGUUGUGUCUGAAAUGUUAAAGCAUGGAGUUCUGGCUGUGAUUCAUGGGCCAAAAUCCUUGUGGUGGUAUUGGGCACACUUUGUCCUACAGGAGGGCCUGAUUUUUCUACUCUCUCCAAAAAUGGGGUAAGUGACUUCCAUUUUUGCUGAGAUUCAAUGAGUCUACUAAAUUGCUGCAUAUGACUGCUAAAUGCCCCAAGGUGCCUCAAUCAACUUCUUAGUACCAUUAAUUCCUGCAUGUGUGUGCUCUUAUUGAUAUGGUGCAUGGGUAAUCCAAGAUGUGGUAUUCCUCCUCCAUCCCUAUA